UGCCCGCCCUCUCACCGUCCCGCCCCUUCUGUCCCUCGCCGGCCCUGCCGGGGGGCUGCGCCUGCGCGUUCGCUGGAGGGGCUGCUGCUGCUCCGUGCCCGGCGCUCGGACCCGGCUGGCGGGCGGCGGGUGAGGGGCCGGUGGCGGGGCAGAGCGAUGAGCUCCCGGAAAGUGCUGGCCCUGCAGGCCCGGAGGCGGCGGCCCAAGCAGCCCGCGGCGGCCGGCAGGAGGGACAAGCACAAAAAAAAUCAAGCAGAAGAUUGAGCUGCUGAUGUCAGUUAACUCUGAGAAGUCGUCCUCUUCAGAAAGCUCAUCAGUCUUAAUGUUGAACUGUUUACAGUCCUUGACCACGGUAUCCAAAAUGGCCUCAUGUCCAGAAGAUGAAGUUUCAAGGCCAGAGCCUCAACAGAAAGCUCCAUCUGCACCACCACCUCCACCUCCGCCCCCACCUCCGCCCCUGCCAGAGCCAGCACCACCAGAACCAGAGGAGGAGAUUCUGGGAUCUGAUGAUGAGGAGCAAGAAGACCCUGCAGAUUAUUGCAAAGGUUUGUGUAAUUAAGCACUAUAUAAAAAGUUGAAUGUUAAAUAGUAAACAUCUAUAUAGCCCUUGACAACUUUGGUCCUCAAGAGCCACUUGAAUGGUCUUCUUUUAGAGUGAAGCUUAUGCUUUUGUGUGGUAGAGACAGAGUUUUCUUAGUGCUGGUCCUAGAUUAUGGAAUUCACUCCUGCAAGAACCAAGGGUAUGUCUACACUAGAGAGACUAUACAGGCAUUGCUAUGUCACCGUAGCUAUGUUGGCAUAACCCUGUAGUAUAGAUGCUGCCUAUAUGUUGGUGUGGGAGCACCACCUCCCUGAUUGAUGGUAGCUCUAAGUCGAUGGAAACAUUCUUCUGUUGACUUAGCUUCAUCUAUACAGGGGAUUAGUUUGGCAUAACUGUGUCGCUCAGGGAGUGCUUUUUUUCCCCACACACCUGAGCAACGUAAUUAUGUUGAUCUAAUUUUUAAGUGUAGACCAAGCCUAAGAAUGGCCACAAAAGUCACCAUUUUCUGUCUAUGCAAUGCUUAUCACUUUUAUUUAUUUUACUUUCCCCUAGGCAAAGGAAUGGAGAGAACAUUUUUGGACCAACAUUAGACACAUUAUUUUUUAACUCUGCGAGGUUUUUAAAUAGUUUGGUAACUGGGAUGAUAUAAUGAUAUAAUAACCUAUACUUAGAAUAGAAUUUAUUUCUCUGAUUCUUCCCUCUAACUUCUCUGCACCAUUGAGACUCACAUUCACUCACUGGAAAUCUUCUGAUCCUGUCCUUGUACAUUAUAUGGAAACUUUAUUCAUACCUUUCUUAUUCUGCUAUUCUGCCUGAUUUACGAUGUGCAUGGGCUAAUUAGAUCAUCAGCUAGUCCAAUUGCCCCAACUUCUGCAGGGAGUCUUGGAACCAUAUCUUGGGGCAUCACUGGGAAUCUGGUAAAGUACGAAACAUUAUUUUAGUGGAGAAUGCAGAUAAACUCAAGACAAGUGAAAGACAAGUAAAUGUUGAGCAAAAAACGUUAAUGUGAACCAGGAGC
ensembl:lncRNA